rnacentral:rRNA from 1 species
GCUUAACACAUGCAAGUCGAGGGGCAUCAGGAAGAAAGCUUGCUUUCUUUGCUGGCGACCGGCGCACGGGUGAGUAACACGUAUCCAACCUGCCCUUUACUCGGGGAUAGCCUUUCGAAAGAAAGAUUAAUACCCGAUAGCAUAAUGAUUCCGCAUGGUUUCAUUAUUAAAGGAUUCCGGUAAAGGAUGGGGAUGCGUUCCAUUAGGUUGUUGGUGAGGUAACGGCUCACCAAGCCUUCGAUGGAUAGGGGUUCUGAGAGGAAGGUCCCCCACAUUGGAACUGAGACACGGUCCAAACUCCUACGGGAGGCAGCAGUGAGGAAUAUUGGUCAAUGGGCGCUAGCCUGAACCAGCCAAGUAGCGUGAAGGAUGAAGGCUCUAUGGGUCGUAAACUUCUUUUAUAUAAGAAUAAAGUGCAGUAUGUAUACUGUUUUGUAUGUAUUAUAUGAAUAAGGAUCGGCUAACUCCGUGCCAGCAGCCGCGGUAAUACGGAGGAUCCGAGCGUUAUCCGGAUUUAUUGGGUUUAAAGGGAGCGUAGGUGGACUGGUAAGUCAGUUGUGAAAGUUUGCGGCUCAACCGUAAAAUUGCAGUUGAUACUGUCAGUCUUGAGUACAGUAGAGGUGGGCGGAAUUCGUGGUGUAGCGGUGAAAUGCUUAGAUAUCACGAAGAACUCCGAUUGCGAAGGCAGCUCACUGGACUGCAACUGACACUGAUGCUCGAAAGUGUGGGUAUCAAACAGGAUUAGAUACCCUGGUAGUCCACACAGUAAACGAUGAAUACUCGCUGUUUGCGAUAUACAGUAAGCGGCCAAGCGAAAGCAUUAAGUAUUCCACCUGGGGAGUACGCCGGCAACGGUGAAACUCAAAGGAAUUGACGGGGGCCCGCACAAGCGGAGGAACAUGUGGUUUAAUUCGAUGAUACGCGAGGAACCUUACCCGGGCUUAAAUUGCAGUGGAAUGAUGUGGAAACAUGUCAGUGAGCAAUCACCGCUGUGAAGGUGCUGCAUGGUUGUCGUCAGCUCGUGCCGUGAGGUGUCGGCUUAAGUGCCAUAACGAGCGCAACCCUUAUCUUCAGUUACUAACAGGUCAUGCUGAGGACUCUGGAGAGACUGCCGUCGUAAGAUGUGAGGAAGGUGGGGAUGACGUCAAAUCAGCACGGCCCUUACGUCCGGGGCUACACACGUGUUACAAUGGGGGGUACAGAAGGCAGCUAGCGGGUGACCGUAUGCUAAUCCCAAAAGCCUCUCUCAGUUCGGAUCGAAGUCUGCAACCCGACUUCGUGAAGCUGGAUUCGCUAGUAAUCGCGCAUCAGCCACGGCGCGGUGAAUACGUUCCCGGGCCUUGUACACACCGCCCGUCAAGCCAUGGGAGCCGGGGGUACCUGAAGUACGUAACCGCAAGGAUCGUCCUAGGGUAAAACUGGUGACUGGGGCUAAGUA